GACGAACGCUGGCGGCGUGCUUAACACAUGCAAGUCGAACGGAGAGGCCCUGCUUUUGUGGGGUGCUCGAGUGGCGAACGGGUGAGUAACACGUGAGUAACCUGCCCUUGACUUUGGGAUAACUUCAGGAAACUGGGGCUAAUACCGGAUAGGAGCUCCUGCUGCAUGGUGGGGGUUGGAAAGUUUCGGCGGUUGGGGAUGGACUCGCGGCUUAUCAGCUUGUUGGUGGGGUAGUGGCUUACCAAGGCUUUGACGGGUAGCCGGCCUGAGAGGGUGACCGGCCACAUUGGGACUGAGAUACGGCCCAGACUCCUACGGGAGGCAGCAGUGGGGAAUAUUGCACAAUGGGCGGAAGCCUGAUGCGGCAACGCCGCGUGCGGGAUGACGGCCUUCGGGUUGUAAACCGCUUUCGCCUGUGACGAAGCGUGAGUGACGGUAAUGGGUAAAGAAGCACCGGCUAACUACGUG
rnacentral:rRNA from 1 species